UACGGAGGAUGCGAGCGUUAUCCGGAUUCAUUGGGUUUAAAGGGUGCGUAGGCGGAUGAGUAAGUCAGUGGUGAAAGACUGUCGCUUAACGAUAGCAUUGCCAUUGAUACUGCAUAUCUUGAGUACAUUUGAGGUGGGCGGAAUGUGUAGUGUAGCGGUGAAAUGCUUAGAUAUUACACAGAACACCAAUUGCGAAGGCAGCUCACUAAACUGUAACUGACGCUGAGGCACGAAAGCGUGGGGAU
rnacentral:rRNA from 1 species